rnacentral:rRNA from 1 species
AAAGAAAAUAACAAUGAUUCCCCUAGUAACGGCGAGCGAAGAGGGAAUAGCUCAAAUUUUAAAUCUGUUGGGUCUUACCUAACCGAGUUGUAAUUUGAAGAAGCGUUUUCUGCGUGUUUGAUUUAGCCCAAAUCCUUUGGGAUAAGGUAUCAUGGAGGGUGAGAAUCCCGUCCGGCCUAAUCAAAUGUGCUUUUACGAUACGUUUUCUAAGAGUCGAGUUGUUUGGGAUUGCAGCUCAAAAUGGGAGGUAAAUUUCUCCUAAGGCUAAAUAUAGGCGAGAGACCGAUAGCGAACAAGUACCGUGAGGGAAAGAUGAAAAGAACUUUGAAAAGAGAGUUAAACAGUACGUGAAAUUGUUGAAAGGGAAACGAUUAAAGUCAGUCGUACUAACGGGGAAUCAACCUUUUGAGGGUGGAAUUGUGGGAUUCAGAGUGCCUUUGUCUUUCACAACCUGCUUUCUUUGGGUGCACUUUCUCGUAUUGUAGGUCAGCAUCGGUUUCGACCGUUAUAAAAUGACUGGAGGAAUGUAGCUUCGAUCUCGUAUUGAAGUGUUAUAGCCUUUGGUAGAUGUAACGGAUGGGAUCGGGGAUUGCAAUGAAUACCCUCAUGGGCUAUCCGCCUGGCCUCUGACAUGUCACUCUGGUGCCGAAAGCUUGCUUAUGGUAUUAUAGUGUACGGUCAAAAGGUUAGAACGGAUUAAAUU